rnacentral:tRNA from 1 species
UAAAUUAAUUAAUUAGUAAUUAAUAUCUUUUCAAUGUAAAUGAAAUACUUUUAUAAGCUAUAAUUUA